UACGAAGGGGGCUAGCGUUGCUCGGAAUGACUGGGCGUAAAGGGCGCGUAGGCGGAUUGUUCAGUCAGAUGUGAAAUUCCCGGGCUUAACCUGGGGACUGCAUUUGAUACGUGUAGUCUAGAGUUCGGAAGAGGGUCGUGGAACUCCACGAGUAGCGGUGAAAUGCGUAGAGACGUGGAGGAACACCAGUGGCGAAGGCGGCGUCCUGGCCUAGAACUGACGCUGAGGCACGAAAGCUAGGGGAGCAAACGGG
rnacentral:rRNA from 1 species